rnacentral:tRNA from 1 species
GCCCGGCUUCGCGCGGCUGCGCGGCCGCUUCGACCGGGUGCUGUCGUGGAACGAGACGAUCCGCCCGUUCCACCCCGGCGGCUGGUCGCC